CUACGGAGGGUGCAAGCGUUAUUCGGAAUCACUGGGCGUAAAGGACGCGUAGGCGGGUUGGCAAGUCAGAUGUGAAAUCCUACAGCUUAACUGUAGAACUGCAUUUGAAACUGCCGACCUCGAGUAUGGGAUGGGGAGAUGGAAUUAGUGGCGUAGGGGUAAAAUCCGUAGAUAUCACUAGGAAUACCGAAAGCGAAGGCGAUCUCCUGGAACAUAACUGACGCUAAGGCGUGAAAGCGUGGGGAGCAAACAGGAUUAGAAACCCUAGUAGUCC
rnacentral:rRNA from 1 species